CUCUCCUUGGUGAAGCUUUCCUCUGUGAACCUGGGAUCCUCUGGUACAGGAACAUGCCAGGCUGACAUAGCCAGCAGAAGGGAGUGGAAGGGUAUUACUGAUCUCGUCUCUUUGGUGACAGCAAUGGACCCAAGCUUACCUUCAUCUUGACAUGACUAUUG